GAUGAAGAACGCAGCGAAAUGCGAUAGGUAGUGUGAAUUGCAGAAUUCAGUGAAUCAUCGAAUCUUUGAACGCACAUUGCGCCCCUUGGUAUUCCAUGGGGCAUGCCUGUUCGAGCGUCAUCUACACCCUCAAGCUCUGCUUGGUGUUGGGCGUCUGUCCCGCCCCCGCGCGUGGACUCGCCCCAAAUCCAUUGGCAGCGUUCCUUGCCCCCUCUCGCGCAGCACAUUGCGCUUCUCGAGGGCGGCUCCGGGACGCGAUCCAGCAAGAUGACCACCGUCUUUGACCUCGGAUCAGGUAGGGAUACCCGCUGAACUUAAGCAUAUCAAUAAGCGGAGGA
rnacentral:misc_RNA from 1 species